CACUAGAAACUUUAAUUUGAGAAUACCUGACGAUAUUUGAAACUCCUUUUCAAAUUACAAAAUGAAAGGGAAUUUUACAAGUUGUGAACAAAACAUUGUGGUACCUUGGCUCCCCGUUUUCUCAUCUCUAUGCUAGAUGGCCAUUAUGAAGGAUCAUAAAUGUGUGAUCCCGAGCAUUGAGACAAGAUUGUUGCUCAUGUAGAGUGUUGUAACGGUGGACGCCACGAUCCAUGACAGAAACAAGUAGGACAGAUAAUUCCAUCUUCUUUGAAAACAAAAGGGAAGGUCUGCAUUUUAAGGUUAGGUUAGAAACAAAACAGCAAUAAAACCAUUUGCUAUUACUACCUUUCAUACAUUGUUAUCAUAAAUAGGAGCAGUACA